GUGCCAACUGCUAAGUGACUUGCCGCUGGUCCCACAAGUGUGCUGAUGCCCUCAUGGUCCUCAACAUGGCCUCUCCUUGUAGCCUGCAUACAACAGUCUCCUGGCUUUUCUUUCUUGGCUAGUUACAGAUGGCCGCUGCAGCCUCGGUAGAAGAGGAGAUCUGAGCCUGAAACUCCUUUAAGAAAGCUGCUACUUACCAGUACCACCUGUGACUGGCUGUCACCACUCCUACAGUCUCUGCCAGCACUCUCUGCCAGCCACUCUCCUGCGGUCGUUCCUAUCUUCGAGGAAGAGUGGAGAAUAUCCUUUUAAAAUCUGGAUCCUUUUCCCCGUGGAAGAAGGUGGAGGGUAAAUACAGCAAUGUGCUCAGACGGCUUGCCCCGGAUCAUGAGCCUUGGAGGGUAUGUGUGGGCAGGGGCGGGGGUAUGUACUAUGUGUGCACAUGCCUAUAUUCAAAUGUGCUUCCAUACUUACUGUUAGGGAUCUUUCUCUAUCACAGUCCGUUUUUCUGUGACACUUUUCCUGGCCAAAUCUUAAGCCCACCCUUUCAUCUAAGAUGACUGGCUAGAGAGCUCUUGAGAUCUAUCUGUCUCUACACGUCCCAUCCCCCACCCCCAACCUGUGGUUACCUGCAUGGGCAGCCAUAGGCUUUACAUGGGUGCUGAAAAAUCAAACUGGGGUCCUUUUGGUACAGCAAGCACCCUUACCUACAAACCUGUCCUACCAGGCCCAGUUUGCAAGUCUUUUACAGACCUAUUUAGCGAGUUACUCAUGGUGCUAAUGAAUACAUCAACAACAAAAUGAACAAAUGCCACCGUGAGCUAAGGUCCUUCCGGCUCUCUUUAGAAAGCUGGUUGUUAAACAUUUACCAGCACACCACAAUCAGGCAAG
rnacentral:lncRNA from 1 species